UCAACAACCCAAUGAUGAAGAUAAGUUUCAUGGAGGGGUAUAGGAUUACCAUCUUCAUCAACUACUUCAGCAUGGAAACUCUUGAUUGCUACAUGACCUCUUGGAAAAUCAAUAUCAUAAUAAUAUUUAUUGAUAACUGAUCCAGGUCCUAGCUCGAAUUUCGGGGACAAAAAUACAGCUGAUUUUAUCUUAUUUUCAGUUUUCACAAAAGAACCUAAGCAUGGUACUGUGCCAAACAACAGCACAAGUAUUGCCAAUGAAAAAACAAAAUCUCUAGGUACACACCACAUGUUGAUCUGCCAAAAAAAUAUUAAGUAUUAGUAAUUAACUAAUUAUUGACUAAAAAUAUAUUAAACAGAAUAUUGUGAAAAAUGUAUUGUGUUCAUUAAAAAAGAUUAUUAGUACAACAAAAUUCUGCAAUUAAACGAGUAUAUAUAUAGCGAUAAAAAAAUAAUCUUGCAAAGUACUAGUCCUCCAAAGAAUUGAAUAAUUAAGCUUAAAAAAUAAACAAGGCAGACAGAGUUUUCAAAUUGCACCUAAGAGAAGAUUUUUAAAACCUUAAUUAUGACAUAAGUUAUAGCCAAACCUUAAUUAUGACAUAAACUGAUAGCCAAACAACUUUUUUUUAAUAAGAAAAAACCUAUAAUUAGCAAUAGAGGGAAAUAGAUUCUCUGAUUCAAGUUUUUCAUGCAUCCAUGCGGUCAAAACGUUAGUGACUGUCCGAUUUAGAUCUAACACCUUAAAAAAUGCAUAUUUCAAUAAUUACUCUACUAUUAUAAAACAUCGAUCGACUUGAAUUUUGAAUCAUCCAAUUUUAAUCGAACAUAUUCUAAUAUGUGAAUGCGUCUACAUGUGGACCGCAACAAAUCUAGGUCUAACAAUAAAUGAUGAUUAUAGAAAGUUGAGGCAAAAGGGUGGAGUGCUGUGCAAGUAUAUGAAGUAUUAACAAUUGAUCACACCAAAGUAAGAUUUGAGGAACAUAAAAAGCAACAGCAUGUAGAACAGAUUGCGUACCUCAAAUUUAGAGUGUGUGAGAUGGUUUGUAUCAUUCAAAUAGACUCACACGUAUUUAUAGAUAGAUGAUUGGGGUUGAAUUGAAUGAAAGUGUUUUUCUAAAGAGCCACGUCCUCAGAUUACUUUCACCCACGGGAAAGUAAAGUCCAAAUUUGCUACUCAACUUCCCUUUUCAUAUAAGAUUUUAUCUAACAAAUGCAAUAUUGUUGUUAUAUUGUAUAUGUUAAAGGAACUAAAAGUAACAAAUUUUUAGUGAAAAUCAACAAUUAUUUAUUAAAAAAUUAUAUAUUUAAUAUAAAAUCCACAAAUUUUAAUACAAAAUUUACAAUUUUAAUUUUUUUAACAUGUGUAAAUUUGCAGAUGAUAGAAUUUUUUUAUAAAAAAUAUAACAAAAAUCAUGAUUAUUAAAAAAAGUUGUUAAAGUAAUAAAUUUAUCUGAAAUUUAUGUGAUUAUUACUAUAUUAUUCUUUAUAUAUAAAUGUAUUCAAUGUUAAUUUUAUACCCAAAACAAAAUGAUGCUCCGCAUCAAUAAAGAAUAUAUUUUAAAAAAGAGUAAUAAAUAUAUUUAUAGAUGAUUUUAUAUAUGAACAAUUUUUUGUAAAUAGUUUUGUAGCUAGGAACUGAUAAACUAUUUGAAUUCAUUAUUCAGUCAUUUUACUUUUCCUUUAUUAUUACCAGUAUUCAUUAUUUAUUUCACUCUUGGAUUUUUUUUUGGUUGCUAAUAUCACUCUUGGAUUCAUUAUUCAUUUUUUUUAAAGGUGGACUCAUUAUUCAUUUUUUUGGUCGUAUCACUCAUUAAUACAGUAGAAAACUACAAAGCAUGAGUCGGCAAUUCAACACACUUAGGCAAUUGGAACACUCAAUCGGACAUCAAUUGAUCCAAAUUUCGUUCAUAAAUAAGAUCGAAUUGGUAAGUUAGAUUAAGUCUCUUAAUUUGUAUGGGUGUUAAUUUUGUCCUUAGUUAUUGACGCAUAACGAAAAUAAGGGUUAGCAAAUGCUAAACCUAAAAGAUAAAUAGAUAGGCUGCAAACGACAAACCUAUCAAAUAAGGGUUUACAGAAUCCACUAGAAUUGAGAAAAGUCUCGAUAAUUUUUAUUGAAUGAAAAAAGUGUCUCUUAGGUUGCAUAAGUUAUGUUUAAAUAUUAGAGGAAAUAACAAACCUGUAUGAGCCGAAAAAUAACAUACUGAAAUAAAAUAGAAAAAUCUAGAAUAUGCCGAAAUAUUAAAAUGAGGUUUUGGGCCUUCAGACAACCUCGAAUGACUAAAUUCACCCCUACGUCAUGACCAAGCAUUGGUUUUGUUUGUGAGGUCCCGGACUUUCCGAAAAGGUAUAGUUCGGGUCAUUCUGACACCGGAUGCAAAAUCUACACCAUUCUAAGUAAACCUUUCUUAUCACUACUAAAAAAAGCAAAAAUUUGUGAGGGAAAUUUAGAGAGGGAAAACGCAAAAUCCCUCUCUAAUUCUGUCACUAAAUUUUGCGACCAAGGAAUUUGUAAGGAAUUUUAUUUUUUCCGUCACUAAUCUCCCUCCCUAAUUUUACAUUUUCUAGUGGUGUUACGCGCCACUUCAUCUUCGAUGUGCGCCACCAGUUUGUCUAGAUCAAUUAUAAAAUCAUUAAAAAAAAUUGGUUUUAAAUAUAACAUCAUCUACAAAUUUCUACACAAAGGUAAGAAGGGAUUGAUUAUAUUUUAUAAAACCUUAAUUUUAUAUUUAAAUUUGUAUUAUAUAUAUAUAUAUAUUUUUUUAUAAUAAUUGUAUUUCUUUAUAUUUGUGAAAAAAAUUAAAACGACGUUUAUUUUGAAACGGAGUUGGAAACAUGAUUCAAAAUAGCAACCAUAAUACUUCCUCCGUUUAUAAAUAUAAGCAAAAUUGUUUUUUUAAGUUCAUUCAUUUAAUGAUGCAUAUGAUCCAUAAUAAGAACCACAUACAUUAUUAAAUGAAUGAAUCUAAAAAGUCAAUUUUGCUUAUAUUUAAAAACGGAGAGAGUAUUGAUUUGUUUCUUUUCUAUUAAAAAUUAAUUUCAAAACAAUCAUGAAACUAGCAUUGGGUUAUCAAGCUACCACUUUUUCUGUUGGAGUGUGGUGGUCUUGGCAGCAUCGAAAUUUUAUGUGUUUGAGUGGUGAAACUUGGUCAUGACUGCGUUUUACUUGCAACAUUAAGAAUUCGAUUGAGAGCAUUGUAUUCAAUUUUUCCCCUUCUGUUUCUAUUGAUAUGGCUAACAGGUACAUCAGAUGGAAUAAUAAUAAUAUUUCGGGUGCUAUUCUUAAUGUGGAUGGUAGUUAGCAUGACACUCCUAUUAGAACUUGAUUUGGUGGAGUCUUGCGCAAUGACUCAGGUAUAUUCAUUGCGGGUUUCUCUGGUUUCAUUCCAGGAUCAUUUGACAUCUUGUUGACUGAGCUUUCUAUUAUCUAUCACAAUCUGAUCAUGGAGAAGGAUUUGGGUUAUACAAAGCUUGUUUGCUACUCUGAUUAUCUUGUUUGCGUUAAUCUUAUAAAUGGCCCCAUUGAGUGUUAUCACAUCUAUGUUGUUCUCAUCAAAGACAUAAAGCAAUUGCUUCACCAUACCAGCGUAACGGUUUCUCACACUCUUAGAGAGAAAAAUCAGUGUGCAGACUUAAUGGCAAAGCUUAGAGCUUCUUCUGAUAUUGAUCUUCCUCUUCACGAGUUUUCCCCUGUUGGUCUUGUUAAUCUCGUCGGAAGCGAUGCCGCUUGCAUUUUGUUCCUCAGGGAAUAGUUAGUUUUUUCUUUGCCUUUGUCAUUGUAAAAAAAAAAAAAAAAAAAAACUAGCAUUGUGGUCCCAACUCCAAACAACAAAGUCAAACAAUAUAAUAUAGGUUGGAAAACAAGGCCGACAAUGCAUCAAACUAUACUAUUCUGUCACGGGACGGCUAUCUGGUUGAAGAAGACAUUCUUCAUAUCAGGCUAUCACACUAGCCACUUGAAUUUAUAUUAAUUAAUUAAUUAAAUUCUCAAACAAUUUUUGCUACAAGUGUAAUUAAAAUCAGACAAUACUACGAUUUUUAGGAAACCAAUUAUGCAUGCAAAGUCUGUUAUAGAGACCAAGCCAAGCCACACCCGUUUCAAAAAUAAGCUGCACUUGGCAAGUUCGUCUCAAAUGUUUGAAGCAACUUCCAAACAUUCAUGAUUUCAAUUCAAGUAUUAAACCAUAUUUGGUUUGUCCAUAUUCACGGCGUAUAUAUAACUUGUGAAGUGUAACAUCAAAACACAAAAAAAAAAAAAAAAAGGCUUAUGGGUUGUGGCAAUCUGAUAAAAACAGAUACGUUUCGUACUAAGCAAUUCCCUUUUAAAUUAAGCAGCUAUACGUUACAGCAAACUUACCACAUAGCCAUAUGAUACAAGAAAGAGUGGACUAAGCCAAAAUAAUUACACACUAUGUAUCACUAGAACACGGCAUUGAUGCAAACUUCAUACUUGUCUUCAUCCUAUAGCUAGCCAAAUGCAGAAAGUUUUGUAUUAUUCAGUCACACUCAGACUUGUCUUUAUUCCUCUUUUGAUCAAAUCAUAUAUUACUUCGCUACAAUCCAUAAUAACACUCCACAUUUAUUACAAAUAUGUGACUAAUUAUCUAAAAGCAUAUUAUUUAUAUCCAUAAAAAAUGAAGAACGAGUAGAAUGUCUGAAGUGUUGAUCUGGGAGCUGUUCUGCCACCAACAAGUAGAAAAGUCCCAUUACUCCAGUGUGCUCCUUGGUGCUGCUGUAGUUAGACACUAGAGUUAAAGUUUCACCAUCAACUAUCUUGACAGAACCUGGUUUAGGAUAACAUGUGGACAUUCCUACAAUGUAGCCUGUCUCAUUCCCAGCUUCAUUUCCAUUUCCGUAACUUGGUAUAGAGGAACAUAUAACUCUGCCAUCCUGAAAACAUGAUCCACAUAUUUCGCAAAACAAGCUAUUAAUCUAUUAUACCAUAUUUAACUUCUUAAACAAGCUACUAUACACCUUUUUCUUGUUAAUAAAAGCAUUUGUUAGCCUCAAUUGAAAACUAUCACAUGAUCAAAUAGAAGUGAUUAUAUUUAAUCACAAAUGUGUCUCGGGUCCAACAUGUGUCAGACACUCGAACACAUCUUUAAUCUUAAGUGUCGGUGCUAUACAUGAUGUAAAUCGGGAGUCUCUCUUAAGGAGCAGAAUCGUUAUCGAUUAGAUCCUUCAAUGAUUUCUUUUUUCAAUAAACUUAUGCCACUAAAAAGUGAUAUCUAUUCAAAUCAAAAUAUUUUUGAGUAUUACUGUAAGUUGUAACUUGUCGCUAACUGUUGCAAUUGAAAAUUGUAAAUUACCUGCCCGUAUAGAGUUGAUCCAAUUCCACCUGAAUGCUGAUGAGCAACACCAUAGAUCACAUAGCCACCAGUUUGUAGUGGGAGACUUGUCCUCUUCACAUCAACACAACCAUUUCUUUCUUUAUGGUCUGUGCCGCAAGAUUCAACUUGAUACUCAGUCUGAAACAAAUAAAUUCAUGUUGCUCACUAUAUACCCAACAAAGUAAUGGACUAGUUUUAUGUUUUAGAGUUAAAUUGAGUUGACAAAAACUACAAGUAAGGAUUCUCUGCAGUCUACAGACUUUACAUACACGCAAUAAGCACAUUAAUGACUGUUGGAUCAAGAUUGAAGGGUCUAGGGAUUCCAAACCCAGUGUCAUUGAUUUUAAAAUAAUCAAAAGCUAAAUAUUCUGUGAACUUUUUGAUCUUGAUCCAUCAUCAACCGAUGAUUUGUCUGCGUGAAUCUAGGGUAGCCCAACUACACGGAAUCUAUUUCUAAAAACUAAUGUUUCUUAAUGAAUUCAUUUACCUUGCAAUCAUGGUUUGAGUUCAAUCCUUUUGAAUCAUCUGAUGGUUUCAAAGUAUCAGUAACAUCAAGUAUAUAUAUCUUAACAGGCACUAUAAAAUCAUCCCAAUCAACCCAUUUUACAGUGUAUCUUAGGUAGAGACUUCUCUUUGGACCCUCAAAACCUUCCUUCAACUUGCAUUGUGUAUGGUCAUAACAACAUAACAAACCUCCUUUAUAAUCUGGCCCAAUAGACCUUCCAUAUUCAUCCACUGUAACAUUAUAAAGGUCGCACUUGCACUCAGUGCACCCUAAUUUAUCCUCUGCGCCUCGCGUAUCAAUGGCAUGAACAUUAAGCAACCAUUUAUCCUCAAACCCUUGUGGAAUCUCUUCAGGAUUACCUAUCUCUAUACCGAAAGGAUCUGGAAUAUCUGUUGUCGUUCCUCGUGUUUCUGACCCAAGUCCAAAGUAUUGUGAAAUAGCAUUUCCCUGGCAUAUGCCACUGUUCCUUACAAGAACAUGAUCAGAGUUUUGAAGCAUCAUGUGGCUAACAUCUUCUGUGUGUGUGACAUAUUUUCUUUGAUAAUGUCUUUGAACAAGCCAAUGAUGGAGAUAGGUUUCAUGGAGAGGUAUAGGAUUACCAGCAUCAUCAACUACUUCAGCAUUGAAACUCUUUAGUGCUAUAUGCCCUCUUGGAAAAUCAAUAUCAUAAUAAUGUUUAUUGAUAACUGAUCCAGGUCCAAGUUCAAACUUAGGGGACAGAAAAACAGCUGAUUUGAUUUUAUCUUCGGCCUUCACAAAGGAACUUGAGCAUGUUGUACCAAACAAUAGUAGAAGUAUUGCCUCUAAAAAUACAAAAUCUCUAGAUACAAAACACAUGCUGAUCUGUCAUGGAGUUUUUUUAUUAGUAAUUCAUAAUUAUUGAUUAAAACAAAACAAAACAUCUUUCCUUUAAAAUAUUAUUAACUACAGUACAAAGUAAACGAGGUCGUGGAUUAAUACUUAAAAAAUAUUUAAAAAUCUUUUUUUUUUUUUUUUUGUGGCCGGGUUUCGAACUCCAUAUCUUGUAUAUUUUAUGUAUUGUCAAUAUCAAUUGAUCUAAACUCACGAGGACAAAUAUUUAAAAAUCUAACGACGAAAUAUGUCGUUUUUUUUUAUUUUUUUAUUUUUUUAUAGUAAAUGUUAAUAAUCUUCAUCAUUUUUAUAAUUGAAAUAAUAUUUCUUUUUAGUAAGUAACAUAAUUGCUAGACUUACACACUAACGGUGUAGAGAAGUGGAAAAUCUUUAGUUUAAACCUUUGCCCCUGUAGUUAAAUGUUCUUAGAACUAUCAAUUAAGCUGCAUUUAUAAGAUUGAAAUAAUAAUUUAACUGAUAUUCAUUUUAUUUAAAACAACGAAAAAUAAAUAUUUAACUUGUAUUCAACCAACAUUAAUCAAGUCACUGUUUUAGCCGUAAAUAAGACAAAUGUCACAAAUUUUUAUUUCUAAAUAGUGUUGUUAAUAAUCGUUAAUAUUUCAGAUAAUCUUAAGCAUCGGUUCAUGAUAUAAAGAAAAAUUUGUCCAUAAAAUUUCCGUGAGCUUAGAUCAGUUGGUAGGGAUAUUGCAUGUUAUAUGUAGGGGCCGGGGUUCGAACUCCGAACACCCCAUUUCUACACAUUUAAUUGUGUGAGCUCUAUCCACUAGGCUACUUGACAUAAAGAAAAAUUUGUCCAUAAAAACACUCGACUGACAUAAACUAAUGAUCAAAACACUAGUAUUUUUUUAUUACUCCCUCUCACCAUUUAUAUGACAUCUUUUCCAUUUCUUUUUAAAAAUAUUUCCACUAUUUCUUUGUCAUGUAAUUUAAGACUUUUUAAAAAAAAUAUUAAGAAUUUUUUUUGAGAAAGGGGAAUCUAUUAUUAAUAAGUGGCACUAAAAUAUUUUUUUAAUGGCAAAAUAUAUUACUCUCUCCCUUUUAUAUCUUAAACACCAUUUUAUUAGAGCUAAAGGUUGCUUACAUAUAAGGGGAUUAAAUCCCAAGUAUUACACCAAAAAGAGAAAAAUAAAAACACCAAAAAAAACUCCAAAGAAAAACAAUCAGCACCCUUAAAAUGUCGGAUCACCUAACAAUAGCUCCUAAAAAACCAACACCACCGACAAUGGACAAUUAAGCAACCGAUAAUGAUUUUGCACUAAAGUAUUUUUACAAUUGUCUUCGAGAAGACUCAAAUUAAUACCUUAAAAUCAUGUACAAUAUCAAACUUUUACCACUAAACUAGCACAUCGAAGUAUUUUUUCACAAAAUUUCAUGUGCAUUGAUAAUUUUUUUUUAUAGAAAUGCUCCCUUUUAAUUUACCAAUAAAAAAAUAGAUACAUAUUGUCUUUUAUGAUAUUAAUAGUUUAUAGGGAAAAAUAUGUAACACGACACACAUUUCAGUCAAACUUACUACUCCAUAUAUAAUUUUUCUUAGGCUUAAAUGCACUUUUGACCCCCUAUGUUUGCUAUGGUAGAAAUUUUAGCCUCCUAUUAAAAAAAAAAAAAAAAUUCAGCCCCCUAACUUCAUCUGCUUUUGCAACCCAUAAGCCCCCUCUGAUUUUGACUUGGUCAAAGGUUACUGUGUAAUUUAAAAUAAAAAUAACAAAAAAAAGAAAUUAAAAAUAAUUAAUAGCCUUAGGAUUAAAAAUCGGUGAUCAAGAUUUAAAGAACUCACAUGCUCCCUCUCUUAACUAAUUUUCCCUUCUCCACUCAUUACUACUUCAUGUUCUCCUUCUGAACAACACAAACCCACCCAGAAAAGUCAAGCUCGAUCAGUCUCCAUAUCAUCAACACAUAACCAGAAACUAGAAAACUCCAUCACCUUCAUAUCCAUCGACACAAAACCAAAAAACCUAGAACAAGGACAAGAACAUCAUCUUCAUAACUCAUCACCCCAAAAAAAUCAAACCCUUCGAUUCUAAAUUCAAAUUCAUCAACUAAUCAAACCCAAAAAAACUCAAAGGUGCGAAUAAAUACUCAUGGUGAGUGGCUUGUGGUAAAUCGUAAAAAGAAGAAAACUCCACCAAUUACAGUGAAGAAAAAAUAGAUGGGACAAUUAAUUAGAAACUCAAAAAACUUGGGUGCAUUCAAGUUGCAAUUAAAGGAGGAAUUAAGUCAAAUGAUAAUUAUGAAGAAGGAAGGGAUAAGGCGCAAAUCAUGUCCGAUGGAGGAAGUGAGAAACCACAAAAAACGUGGUGAUGUGGAACCACAAUAGCAGAAUUUUAUGGAACACCGCGCCGGUGUUCUCAACCUUCCAUUAUUUUUUGUUUGAAAUUGAUUUUUCUAAUCUAGAUCUGGAUGAAAAAUAGAGGAAGAAAGAGAAGCGAUUGAAGAGGUGACGGUGGCCGUGUUUUACAUAAAGGGUGACCCUUUAGUGAAGGGAAGUGGCGGUGGAUAGUCAUGGUGGUGGUGGAAUUUCUCUAUGAAGAUGAUGUGAGAACAAGAGAAUAGAAGAAGAAAUGGGGUUUAUUAGAAAGAAGGGACACAAUAACACUUACAUUGAAUCUUUUAAUGUUGACCAUUGAUUUAAUCCUAAGGCUAUUAAUUAUUCUUAUCAUUCUUUUUCAUUUAAAUUUAAUUUAGUAAUAGCCUUUGAUCAGGUCAAAAUUAGAGGGGGUCAAAGAAGGGUGAAGUUAGGGGGCUGAAAAGUGAUUUUUUUAAUAGGGGACCAAAAUUGUUACCAUGACAAAUAUAGGGGCCAAAAAUGCAUUUAAACCUUUUUGUUAAUAUUCAUAAUUUUAUGUAGAGGUUCCUGCUUCCUAUGAUAAGGGACGAAUGAAGUAUAGACAAAGCCAUGAAUAACAUUAGACGCUGAUUAGAGAAACGUGAGUGAAAAAGGGUGGAGUAUAGUGCAGGUAUAUUGAAGAACAAAUAUAUGAAAAACUAAGGGGGGUGUAUUGAAUUGGGAUUUCAAGGGAUUUUAAAAGACUUUUUUAGAAUGAAAAAGUCUAGUGGUAUUCAAUCAAGACUUUUAUAAAAUUUAAACAAAUCUUGUGGUAUUCAAUCAAGACAAUCAUGACUUUUUUUUUAAGGCAACAAAAUCCGUUGGUAUUCAAUUGAGAUUUCUCAUGACUUAUGAAUUGUCCAUUGGUAUUCAAAAGUCUAUAGAUUUUGAUGGAUUCUUGGAUGGAAUGGAUUUUGUGAGACUUUUUAGUUAAAAAUAUCUCUUCCAACAAUCUCACAGAAACCCUUGAGAUUUUGCCAUUGUCUUGCAAACCUUUCUGCCGUCAUCUUCCAUGCCAGUUUUUUCUUUUCUCUAUCAAAUUCUUCAACUUCCAUUUCUUGUGUCUGAUUCUCUUUUUUUUUUUCCAUUACUUUUUUUUUGUUUCAAUUACUUUUUUUUAUCUGUAUACUCUUUUUGUCCAUAUCAAUUACUAUUAUUUGUUUUUGUCUGAUUCUUGCCAAUGCAAUUUUUUUUGUUCGGUUAAUUUUUUUUGUUCAAUACUAUGCUAUGCUAAUCUUCCCCGUCCCCAUCGUCCCUCAGAUUAUUUUUUCAUUGGCAAAUUCGUCAACGCCGAUUGCUUUUUUCCUUCCCACGUUCAACGGUGUCGAUGGAACGCGAUUAACCAAUCGUCCUUACUUUUUUUUUUUUUUUUUUUUUUUUUUAUCAAAUCAAUGUUUUUUACUCAAAAGCAUAAUUAUUUUUAUAGUUUUUGUCUUCUUUUUGUUCGAUUAAUUUUUUUUGUCUGAUUCUUGUCAAUGCAAUUUUUUUUUGUUUGAUACUUGAUUUUUGUUUAUUAUUAUUAUGAGUGUUAAGUUUAUUAUUGGUAUUUUUUUUCUUGUUAUUCCUAUUGAAUAUAUAUAUUGGUAUAUAGUUACUAUACUUUUGGCAAUUAGGAAAAAAAAACUGUUCUUGUGAAAUAACUAGUUUGUUAUAUAUGUAUAUAUUAGUGAUUAAAUGGGGGAUUCACAACAAGAAAAUAAUAGAGGGAAGGGUAAGGACAAAGAUGGCUAUGUAGCUUGGACCAUGGAGGAAACUAGUGAGUUGUUGUACCUUUUGGUGGAUGCUAUAAAUAGAGGGUUACGUGAUGCCAAUGGGUCCCUUAGUAAACAAAAUGUAGAGCGAGCUAUCCUUCCUCAGCUCAAUGCCAAAACUGAAUCACAUAAAACUUAUAAUCAUUACUUGAGCCGAAUGAAGUGGUUUAGAAAUCAAUACAACAAGAUGUCAACGUUUAUGCGUAACAACUCUGGUUUUGGAUGGGAUUCCGUUGCGAAGACUUACACGGCUACUGAAGAAGUAUGGAAUAAUUACUUAAAGGUGAGCUAAGUUCAAAAUCGUUUAAAAGUAUGAUUGAUUUUUAUUUUUUUUUUGUAAUAUUUAUAGUAUAUUAAUAGUGAAUUUUUUUUGUUUUUUAGUCCCAUCCAUCUCACAAAAAUCUUAAAGGAAAAAGUAUGAUUGAUUAUGAUUAUUUGAAGAUUGUUGUUGGAGGUGGAGUGUCUAGCGGAAAUAAUUCUAUAGCAUUAGACCCUGAGGAUACUGAUGCAACAACUUUUGAGCAAGAAAGUGAAAGUUUUGGAAUGGAAGAUUUUUCAUAUGAUCCCAAUAGUGAUACAUUCAUAGCACCAGAUAACUUUUGGUUGUACUUUUGUUAAAGUAUUUGGUUUGCUUUUUUUUUUUUGUUUAACUAAUGGUUGUAUUUGGAUUGAAGAAUUUAGUUCUGUAUGUUUUGUGAGACUAAUGUGGUUAAAAUUUAAUUAUAUUUUCAUUAUAGUAUUUUAUAUAUUACUUUGCAUUGACUCUUACACUACCUUAAAUAUUGUCUUAUAAUCAUGGCAAUGACAUAGAGGACGAAGAAAUUGAUUAUGAAGGAAUGAGUGAAGAUAUAGAUACUGAAGCUAUAGAUGAUGAUGAUGAUGAUGACGAAGAUGAUGAUGAUACAAAUGAUGAAGAAACAGAUGAAGAAUUGUAUGAAGCCAUAUACAUGUAUAUGAUGGCAAUUCAUGCUUUAAUGCACGUGGUAAAUCAGUUUUUGAAUAUGAUGCGUGGUGAACAUGUUGAACGUCCAUUAACUCGACGACGAAUUACAAGUAAGGGAUAUGACUAUAUACAUAAGUCAUUGAAUGGGGAUUCUGAAAUCUUUCGACAAGUAUAUAGAAUGUAUCCUGAUGUAUUCCGAAAGUUAUGCAUGAUUAUAAGAGAAAAAACACCUUUGGUGGAUACAAGAUUUAUUUGUAUUGAAGAAAUGCUUGCGUCGUUCUUACAGAUUGUCGGUCAGAAUACUCGAUAUUGUAUAAUUAGAAAUACAUUUGGCCGAUCACAAUUUGCUGCAAGUGAAAAUUUUCACAAGAUUUUGAAGGCUUUGAACUCAAUAGCACCUGAUUUGAUGGCUAAACCAACCUCAAGCGUGCCUGCAAAAAUAAGGGAAAGCACAAGAUUUUAUCCUUACUUCAAGGUAUGUGAUCAUUAUCUAAUUAUAAGAGAAUUGUAAAUAUAAUCAUCUUUAUUAUAAUAAUAUUUUUUUUAUGGUUAUAUAUGAAUACACUUUUAGGAUUGCAUUGGAGCUAUUGAUGGUACGCAUAUUCCUGCAUUGGUAAGAGGACGAGAUGUAAGCAGUUAUCGUGAUCGUCAUGGAAGGAUAUCACAAAAUGUAUUAGCUGCUUGUAAUUUUGAUUUGGAGUUCAUGUACGUUCUCAGCGGGUGGGAGGGUUCAGCCCAUGAUUCCAAGUUGCUAAAUGAUGCUUUGAAAAGGAAGAAUGGACUAAAAGUGCCCCACGGUAAGUAAUUAAUUUUUAAAAUAUACUGAUGUUGUUUUUCUUUCACUUUCAUACUUAUUUUAUAUGUAUUUUAAAUUUAAUUAGGUAAAUAUUUUCUGGUGGAUUGCGGAUUUGCUAAUCGACGCAAAUUUUUAGCUCCACAUCGAGGUGUGCGAUAUCAUCUACAAGAUUUUGCAGGUCACGGUAAUGACCCUGAAAAUGAAAAAGAGUUAUUCAAUCUUCGGCAUGCGUCUUUAAGGAAUGUGGUUGAGAGAAUAUUUGGUAUUUUUAAAUCGCGUUUCACAAUUUUUAAGUCAGCACCUCCAUUUUUGUUUAAGACACAAGCAGAACUUGUGUUGGCAUGUGCAGCACUUCAUAACUUUCUUCGCAAAGAAUGUCGUUCCGAUGAAUUUCCAAUUGAACCUUCUAACGAGUCUUCAUCUUCAUCUUCAAUGUUACCUAUUCAUGAAGACAAUAAUGAUGAACUCAAUGUUCAAACACAAGAGCAAGAACGAGAAGAUGCUAAUAUAUGGAGGACUAAUUUAGGUUUAGAUAUGUGGAGAGAUGUACAAGGAAUACCGUGAUACUACUCUAAACGGUGAUUCAGUGAAUCACAUUUCCCUUUUCAUAUUGGGAGAUGCUAAUAUCUAAAGAUAAUCUUGUUUUAAGAAACUUCAUUACCAGCAAGACAUAUUUUGCUUUUUUCCUAGUUUGUUAUUUACGAAAUAUAUUUUGUUUUAUCUUUUUGUUAUGCAGUUAUUUGUUUUUCUCUUUUUGAUGUACCGGUACAAGCUCGAUUUUGAAUCUAGAGAUCACUUUGUUUCGGAAAAAAAAAAUUAUUUGUUUACUAUUUCUAUCAUUCACGGUUGUAAGUUUGUUCUUUUUCCGCUAAAGUUCAUUGAAUCCUUUGAAAUAUUAAAAUCUCAUAAAAUCCUUUGAAAUCCUUAAAAUUCAGUGUGAUAAAUCCCAUAAAAUCCUUUGAAAUCCUUAAAAGUCAGUUUGAUAAAUCCCUUAAAGUCUUUUAAAAUCUUACAGAAUCAAUACAAUCCCACAAAGUCUUUUAAAAUCUUAAAGACUUUUUUUGUUAAAAAAGUCUUUUAAAAUCCUAAUCCAAUACACCCCCCUAAAGUAAAAAAAUGUAACUUCACACCAAAUUAAAUUGAGAUAUGAGUCAUUUGAAACAAACGUGUAAAGUUGUGAGAAAAAAAAUUAAUGAACACAAAAUUAAGAGAAUAGAACCUGGAUACGACAGAGUUUGAGCUUUGUUUGAUGAGAAAAUUAGAGUGUGGUGUUAAACUAGAUUCACUUAUACUUAUAGAUGAAACAAAUUCAAACUAGAAGAGAAGAUGUAUAGGGCUUGAGUUGCGUAUCUCACAUGAGAAAGUUCUUCACAGUCACACUAGUCAUUAUAUGCACGUUUUCUUCAUAAUUUAUUUUGAAAAUUGUUUUUCUCUAUUUUAAAAUUGUUCAUUUUCUAUAGUUAAUUCCGACAUUUUUCAGCUAGACUAAACUCUCAUUCUAUAAUGAGUAAUUUUUUUUUUGACAAUUUAUUCUUAAUUUUGUUGAAGAGUAUAUAUUCAAUAUUUAACUUGCAAUUGAGUUCUUAUUAAUUUUUAGUUAAUUAAUUUAAUGUUUUGAUUUUUUAAAGUCCACUUCGGCUAGAUGACAAUACUUCCAACUUACAAGUCAUCAAAAUUUCCCAACAAGGUGUAUUAUUUGAGGAAAACAAAUUGAGACUAUGGAAUAAAAAACAAGGUACUUAAGGGGUCAAAAUUGCAUAAUUGAAAAAAUGGUAUAUUUUCAAAUUGAACACUUGAAAAACCUAGAGAGAAAAAAUUGCAUCUAAACCUAAUUUUUUUAAUAGUACACUAAUUAUUUAUAGUGUUUUAUAUUUUAGGCUUAACAAUAAUUUUGUCCCCUAUUUUUACUAAACAUACACUAAAACACUUGAGGUUUUAAGGUGAACAGCAAUCUAGGAUGAGUUUUACACUGUGUUUGAUAGAAGAGAAAUAAGAAAGAGAGAAAGAGGGAAGAGAGAAGUUGGAUAGAGAGAAGCAACUUCUCCUGUUUAGUUGAGAAUAGAGAUUAAAGAGAGAGACCAAAUAUGGUGGAACCCAUGCCUGUUUUAUUUCUUUCUUGAAUUGCGAAGAAAUAGAGUAGAGAUGUGAACUUUUUUUGCUCUUUUCCAAAACUAUCCCUGGUAUUGUGGCUAAUAUAAAACUAUUGUCCUUUUUUUUUUUUGUUAACACUGUUGUAUUGUUUUCAUGGUUUUUGUUGUAGCAAGGUAAAAACAAAAACUAAUACGCAACUCUCUUUCCUUUACCUCUUGAUUGGAAUCCUCUUAUAUUAUAAUAAAUAAAUUAAACUAGUAGUUAGUUAACUCUAAUGAAAUAGUUUAACCGAUUAAAUUGUAAAAUUGUAAAUAAAUAAUUAAUUAAGCAAAUAAGUUAUCAAAUUUCUUUGUAAAAAAAUUACUUAGUUUCUUAAUUAAAUUAAUGUAAAAAAUUAUAAGUUAUCAGUUUUUAUAAGAAUUCAUAUAUAAUAAAAUUGUAUAUUAAAGUUUAGUAAGGAUAUUUUGGUCUUUUCAAAAGUUUAACACACUUCUCUCUUCUCUAUUUCUCUCAUUUAUCUCUUAUACUAAACAAUAGGUCAAAUCUACUCUAUUUCUCACCUAUUUCUCUCUUCCUAUACUCUCUCUUCACAACUUCUCUCUUUAUAACUUCUCUCCUAAACCAAACACACCCUUAAAGUUUGGAGAAGGCUAACAACUUUCACUUAAGGCAUUGUUUAGGGCUUGCUGUUAAGGUAUAUACAAAGUUUACAAAAGUAAGUUUAAUUAAAUAUAGUUUUUCAAAAUUAAGUUUGAUUAAAAUGAGUUUGUUCUCGUGUGCUUUUUCUUUGGAUAAGUAAACCAAGGCAUUUCAAUUAUGUUGCCACUUCUUAUUUACUGUUACCUAUCAUAUGCAUUUGGUAUGUUGCGGUUUACUGCUAUUGAUCAUUCUGUUUGUCAAAAAAUCUAUUUGAUAAACAAUAAUGAAGAGGAUGUAAAAUUAGUUGGCUAGAGCUCAGUUAGUUAACUAGCUGGUAGUUUCAGUUACAAUACUGUCUUGGUUACACUACACUGCCUCUCAAUAGUAGCCAUUACAAGUCCAGGGCUCGCGACAUGAAACACGCCUUGGCAUCGUUGCAAUAGCAUGGUUCAAUCGAGGAUUCUUUAAUUCUCUUGCUCCCAAUAUCAAACAAAGUGCGAUUUACAUUACGAUUACAAUGAAGCAACUACAUAGUAGAACAAACUUAUUGCAUAGCCAUACGAUACAAAAAAGAGUGGAAUAAGUACAAAAUACAAACUAUAUAUCACAAAAAUGGCAUCAAGCUUGUCUUUCUCCUAUAGCUAGCAGAAUACAGAUAGAAGUGUAAUUGAUCAGUUACACUUGUCAAACUUAUUCUUCUUUGAUCAAUCAUAUAUUACUUUGACACCAUCCAUGAAACUCCACUUAUAUUAUCAUAUAUGUAACUAAUUAUCUAAAAGUAUAUUAUUUAUAUCCAUAAAAAAUGAAGAACGAGUAGAAUGUCUGAAGUGUUGGUAUGGGAGCUGUUCUGCCACCAAUAGGUAGAAAAGUCCCAUUACUCCGGUGUGCUCCUUGGUGCUGUUGUAGUUAGACUCUAGAGUUAAAGUUUCACCAUCAAUAAUCUUGACAGAACCUGGUUUAGGAUAACAAGUGGACAUUCCUACAAUGUAUCCCGCUUCAUUUCCUGCUUCGCUUCCAUUUCCAUAACUUGGUAUAGAGGAACAUAUAACCCUUCCAUCCUGAAAACAUAAUCCACAAAUUUCACAAAACAAGCCACUACACAAUGUUUAACUUCUUGAUCAAAAGUAAAAUUGUUAGAAUAGCAACUCCGGUUCAAAAGUAAACAGAUAUGAAAAACACAAAAAGAGAACAUACGAAAUUCGAUAAUGGCGUUCGGUCAAUUAUGUCUACCGUUUAGUUUAACAUAUUACAACUCGUGUAUAAAUACUAAGGUCAAGUUUACAAGAUAGCCCUUGAACCAUACCCGUGUUAAUAAACUCAACAAAAAGAAACAUUGACGGUCCUCAAUAGCUAAUAAAUCAAACUAUUUUCUUGUUAGCUAAACAUUUCUUACUAUCAAUUGAAAACAAUCACGUGCUAAGACUAAAAAAAAAGGUGAUAAUUUAUAGUUUAUUUUUAGAGGAAGAAUCAUUAUUAGAAAAUGAUAUAUCAGUUAUACAAUUGUUCUCGAGGGGGUUUGAACUCUGUCUCUUGAAGUCACAAUGUCAAAAUAUUCCCAUUGAGCCGACACCAAGCAUUUAAGAAUGACUUAAGUUACCUGUCCAUAUAGAGUUGAUCCAAUUCCGCCUGAAUGUUGAUGAGCAGCACCAUAGAUCAUAUAGCCACCAGUUUGAAAUGGGAGACUUGUCCUCUUCACAUGAACACAGGAAUUUCCCUCCUUAUGGUCUGUGCUGCAAGAUUCAACUUGAUACUCAUUCUGAAACAAAGAAAACCAUGUUGCUCACUAUAUACCCAAAGUUUUAUGUUUUAGAGUUAAAUUGAGAUUUACACAAACAAAGUACGUGUAUGGAUUCCCUGCAGUCGAGAGACUCUACAUUCAUACAAUCAGUAACACAAUAACUGUUGGAUCAAGAUUGACGAUAAUAAAUUCCAUGCCUGCAGUAUUUUGGAUUUUAGAACAAUCGAAAUCUGUAUAUUUUGUGAAUUGUCUGAUCCUGAUCCAACAGUACACUGAUGGAUUGAUUGCGUGAAUGCAGGGCAUCCCAACUACACGGAACCCAUUUCGACAAACAUGUUUCGUAAUGAAUGCAUUUACCUUGCAGUCAUGAUCUGAGUUCAUUCCUUUUGAAUUAUCUGAUAGUUUCAAAGUAUCAGUAACAUCAAGUAUAUAUAUCUUAACAGGCACUAUAAAAUCAUCCCAAUCAACCCAUUUAACAGUGUAUCUUAAGUAGAGGCUUCUCUUUGGACCCUCAAAACCUUCCUUCAACUUGCACUGUUUAGAAUCAUAACAACAUAACAAACCUCCUUUAUAAUCUGGCCUAAUAGACCUUCCAUAUUCAUCCACUGUAACAUUAUAAAGCUCACACUUACACUCAGUGCACCCUAAUUUAUCCUUUGUGCCUCGCGUAUCGAUGGCAUGAACAUUAAGCAACCAUUUUUCGUGAAACCCUUCUGGAAUCUCUUCAGGAUUGCCUAUCUCUAUACCGAAAGGAUCCGGAAUAUCGGUCGCCGUUCCACGUGUUUCGGAUCCAAGGCCAAAGUAUUGUCCAAGAGUAUUUCCUUGACAUAUGCCACUGUUCCUUAUAAGCACAUUAUCAGAGUUUUGUGUUGCAUGUUUACUUUGAUGAUAUCUUACAACAAGCCAAUGAUGGAGAUAAGUUUCAUGGAGAGGUACAGGAUUCCCUGAUUCGUCAACUACUUCAGCAUUGAAACUCUUGAGUGCUACAUGACCUCUUGGAAAACCAAUAUCAUAAUAAUAUCCAUUGACAACUGAUCCAGGUCCUAGCUCAAAUUUCGGGGACAAAAAUACAGCUGAUUUUAUCUUAGCUUCAGUCUUCAUAGAAGAACCUGAGCAUUGUAUACAUAACAACAGCAGAAACAUUGCCCAUAAUAAUACCAAAUCUCUAGCUACAAAACUCAUGUUGAUCUGUCAGGGAAGAAAUUAUUAGUUAUUAACUAACUAAUUGUUGAUUAAAGACAUACCAAAACAAGAUAAAUAAGCAUGGUUGGAUCUAACACAAAACUGAUUUGUGGAGUGAGGAGUGUCUCUCUUUAUAAACUCUAUUCGUUAGACGUUAUCUUUAGUCUAUCUAUGUGGGACUUGGUUUUUCCAAAACACUGAGUGACCCGAAUCGAUAUGCUCUGAUUUCAUAUUAGAUUUUUAUAUUAGACUUCAUUCAUCCUUACAAAAUCGGUUUAUGAAGUGGGGUGUAAGUCUUUUAUAAACUACUAAAAUCUAAAUUAAUGUUAUGAAUGAAUACAAUUGUGGUGGUCACAGAACAAUUUUAAAACAUUAAUUAUAACAUAAACUUAUGAGCAGACAACUUUUUAUGAUGAAAGUAAAAAGGUUUACCUGG
rnacentral:lncRNA from 1 species